rnacentral:rRNA from 1 species
AGUGAACGCUGGCGGUAGGCCUAACACAUGCAAGUCGAACGGCAGCACAGUAAGAGCUUGCUCUUACGGGUGGCGAGUGGCGGACGGGUGAGGAAUACAUCGGAAUCUACUUUUUCGUGGGGGAUAACGUAGGGAAACUUACGCUAAUACCGCAUACGACCUACGGGUGAAAGCAGGGGAUCUUCGGACCUUGCGCGAUUGAAUGAGCCGAUGUCGGAUUAGCUAGUUGGCGGGGUAAAGGCCCACCAAGGCGACGAUCCGUAGCUGGUCUGAGAGGAUGAUCAGCCACACUGGAACUGAGACACGGUCCAGACUCCUACGGGAGGCAGCAGUGGGGAAUAUUGGACAAUGGGCGCAAGCCUGAUCCAGCCAUACCGCGUGGGUGAAGAAGGCCUUCGGGUUGUAAAGCCUUUUGUUGGGAAAGAAAAUCAGCAGGUUAAUACCCCGCUGUUCUGACGGUACCCAAAGAAUAAGCACCGGCUAACUUCGUG